rnacentral:rRNA from 1 species
GGCUCCAAAAAGGGGGAACUUCGGGCCUCUAGCCAUCGGAUGUGCCCAGAUGGGAUUAGCUAGUAGGUGGGGUAACGGCUCACCUAGGCGACGAUCCCUAGCUGGUCUGAGAGGAUGACCAGCCACACUGGAACUGAGACACGGUCCAGACUCCUACGGGAGGCAGCAGUGGGGAAUAUUGCACAAUGGGCGCAAGCCUGAUGCAGCCAUGCCGCGUGUAUGAAGAAGGCCUUCGGGUUGUAAAGUACUUUCAGCGGGGAGGAAGGGAGUAAAGUUAAUACCUUUGCUCAUUGACGUUACCCGCAGAAGAAGCACCGGCUAACUCCGUCCCAGCAGCCGCGGUAAUACGGAGGGUGCAAGCGUUAAUCGGAAUUACUGGGCGUAAAGCGCACGCAGGCGGUUUGUUAAGUCAGAUGUGAAAUCCCCGGGCUCAACCUGGGAACUGCAUCUGAUACUGGCAAGCUUGAGUCUCGUAGAGGGGGGGUACAAUUGCAGGUGUAGCGGUGAAAUGCGUAGAGAUCUGGAGGAAUACCGGUGGCGAAGGCGGCCCCCUGGACGAAAACUGACGCUCAUGUGCGAAAGCGUGGGAGCAAACAGGAUUACAUACCCUGGUAGUCCACGCCCGUAAACGAUGUCGACUUGGGAGUUGUGCCCUUGAAGCCUUGCUUCCGGAGCUAACCCGUUUAAUUCUACCGCCUGGGGAGUACCGCCCGCAAGGUUAAAACUCGAAUAAUUGACGGGGACCCGCACCAAACCGC